GUCCCCUUCCCUUGGUUUCACCUUUGGUGAAGCAGAAGUAAGCAGAAAGUACGGAGAUCGACAAUGGGGCAGCAGAACACAGAGGGGCAUGCACAGCAACCUUGGACAGCCACAGAGAGGAGACAGAACCAGCCAGCCCCAGCCAGCCUUGAGGCAGUUACCUUGUGCACAUUACUUCACCUGGUGCCAAUGAAGUACAACUCAGCUCCUUCUGGAGACCAGGGAAGAUGGAGGUGUGGACAGGCGCCUGCUGGGUGUGUGGUCACAGAGAGCAGGAAUCUGAACAUCCACCUGCCUGACUCCAGAGCAGGUUCUGGGAUUGUGUCCUGGCAGCAGGCAGCACCCUGCCCACAUGGGCAGCCAUGGGGACAUCUGCCCCACAUCCUCAGUGACCAUCACCACCCCUUUCAGUUAUCCAUUCUGUUGCCACAGUUUGACCUUUAUGACACCUGCACUUCUGGAAUGUUCCAUCUAGGAGUCUGAAUUACUCACCCUACCCAGUCACCUUCCAAAGUAUGAACUCUGGACACCAGUUCCUGGGAGGCAAUGAUGUCGACUCCUGAGCUUUGAAGGAUGAGUACCUGAAGGAUCAGGGCAGACUCUUUAGCCUUCCAACACAGACCCUUCUGUCAUGGGAUCAUAGUGAACUCUGCAAGGAGCUCCAGGCCUUCAACUUUUGACUGGAUCACCCAACUCUACAGCAUGCAGAUGCCCAUUUUUCUAUGCCUGAUUCCACAGAUGGCCAUUAAACUUCAGAGGAAUUUUUGUGUGUGACAAGACAUCACAUAAACCAAAAUCAACCAUGAGGAGAUGAAGCUGGACAGAGAGCUCUGCUUCCUUGUGGACACCAGGGGACUCCAGGACCACAGCCUCAGACAGGAAGCCAAGAGCCCUGGCUGAAGGAGGAGUCCUGCACUGUCCUUCCGCUGUGGGCAAGACAAAGCCCUGGCCUCGAACUGCUUCAGACUACUCUGGAAGUAGCAUCCCAGGAGUCCUCUGUCCUCACCACACAUUCCAUUCACCUGGGCUGCAUGUUUUAAAAUUGCUUACAGCCCUACUCUUUCCUGGGCUGCAGAGACUACCCCACCCUGUAGGUGGCUAGUCUAAGGGGAUGCUAGGCAGUGGGGA
rnacentral:lncRNA from 1 species